AUUGAACGCUGGCGGCAUGCCUUACACAUGCAAGUCGAACGGCAGCGGGGGAGAAGCUUGCUUUUCCUGCCGGCGAGUGGCGAACGGGUGAGUAAUACAUCGGAACGUGCCCUGUAGUGGGGGAUAACUAGUCGAAAGAUUAGCUAAUACCGCAUACAACCUGAGGGUGAAAGUGGGGGACCGCAAGGCCUCAUGCUAUAGGGGCGGCCGAUGUCUGAUUAGCUAGUUGCUGGGGUAAAGGCCUACCAAGGCUACGAUCAGUAGCUGGUCUGAGAGGACGAGCAGCCACACUGGGACUGAGACACGGCCCAGACUCCUACGGGAGGCAGCAGUGGGGAAUUUUGGACAAUGGGCGAAAGCCUGAUCCAGCAAUGCCGCGUGUGUGAAGAAGGCCUUCGGGUUGUAAAGCACUUUUGUCCGGAAAGAAAUGGCUCUGGUUAAUACCUGGGGUCGAUGACGGUACCGGAAGAAUAAGGACCGGCUAACUACGUGCCAGCCGCCGCAGUAA
rnacentral:rRNA from 1 species